rnacentral:rRNA from 1 species
GGCGAACGCUGGCGGCGUGCCUAAUACAUGCAAGUUGAGCGCUGAAGGUUGGUACUUGUACCAACUGGAUGAGCAGCGAACGGGUGAGUAACGCGUGGGGAAUCUGCCUUUGAGCGGGGGACAACAUUUGGAAACGAAUGCUAAUACCGCAUAAAAACUUUAAACACAAGUUUUAAGUUUGAAAGAUGCAAUUGCAUCACUCAAAGAUGAUCCCGCGUUGUAUUAGCUAGUUGGUGAGGUAAAGGCUCACCAAGGCGAUGAUACAUAGCCGACCUGAGAGGGUGAUCGGCCACAUUGGGACUGAGACACGGCCCAAACUCCUACGGGAGGCAGCAGUAGGGAAUCUUCGGCAAUGGACGAAAGUCUGACCGAGCAACGCCGCGUGAGUGAAGAAGGUUUUCGGAUCGUAAAACUCUGUUGGUAGAGAAGAACGUUGAUGAGAGUGGAAAGCUCAUCAAGUGACGGUAACUACCCAGAAAGGGACGGCUAACUACGUG